rnacentral:rRNA from 1 species
UACGAGGGGGGCAAGCGUUGUUCGGAAUUAUUGGGCGUAAAGGGCGCGUAGGCGGUUUGACAAGUCUGAUGUGAAAUCUAUGGGCUCAACCCAUAGCCUGCAUUAGAAACUGUCGGGCUUGAGUAUGGGAGAGGUGAGUGGAAUUUCCGGUGUAGCGGUGAAAUGCGUAGAUACCGGAAGGAACACCUGUGGCGAAAGCGGCUCACUGGACCAUAACUGACGCUGAGGCGCGAAAGCUAGGGGAGCAAACAGG